ACACACAUACAAAUACACAGAGACACACAUACAAACACAAACACACACAUACACACAUACAGGCAUACACACACACAAACAUACAGACACACAGGGGUCAAGUCCUAGGGGAAAAAAUUGUGGGAACUCACCCAAGAUCCACCCCCCCUCAAAAAACAAAUACACUUGUAUGCAUAUAUAUGCACUCACACGCACACUGACAGGUGCACAC